CCUACGGGAGGCAGCAGUGAGGAAUAUUGGUCAAUGGACGAGAGUCUGAACCAGCCAAGUAGCGUGAAGGAUGACUGCCCUAUGGGUUGUAAACUUCCUUUAUAUGGGAAUAAAACAGGGUAUGCAUACCCUCUUGUGUGUACCAUAUGAAUAAGGAUCGGCUAACUCCGUGCCAGCAGCCGCGGUAAUACGGAGGAUCCGAGCGUUAUCCGGAUUUAUUGGGUUUAAAGGGAGCGUAGGUGGAUUUGUAAGUCAGUUGUGAAAUUUUGCGGCUCAACCGUAAAAUUGCAGUUGAAACUGGCAGUCUUGAGUGCAGGAGAGGGGGGCGGAAUUCGAGGUGUAGCGGUGAAAUGCGUAGAUAUCACGAAGAACUCCGAUUGCGAAGGCAGCUCACUGGACUGCAACUGACGCUGAUGCUCGAAAGUGUGGGUAGCAAACAGGAUUAGAUACCCGUGUAGUC
rnacentral:rRNA from 1 species